UGAGGCCAGCCUCAUGACAGUUUUGGUGUUUGUUUUUGUCUGUCUGUCACUUUCCCCUCCCCCCUUGCACUCUGUCACCUCUGCUGGAUCUGCCUACCUCCCACUCCACACCUGCCCUGCUGCUGCAAUCAAGCCACCUGGUUUCCAUCAGCUCAUCACCCAGUCUGCACUUAGUUCCUGUCCCUACCUUCAGUCUCUGCCGGAUCGUCACUCAGUGUACACGUCCUUUCCUGCCUGCCCGUCUGCCAGCCCAGCCAUCACCUCAAGCCCUCCAGCCAUCAUCCCCCCCCCCCGGACCAGCACCCUUCCUUCCCCGCAUUCCCUCAUCUCAAAUAAACCUUUUCUUUCGUCA